rnacentral:rRNA from 1 species
GGACCCGCACAAGCAGUGGAGCAUGUGGUUUAAUUCGAUGAUACGCGCAGAACCUUACCAACACUUGACAUGUUCGUCGCGACUCUAAGAGAUUAGAGUUUUCGGUUCGGCCGGACGAAACACAGGUGCUGCAUGGCUGUCGUCAGCUCGUGUCGUGAGAUGUUGGGUUAAGUCCCGCAACGAGCGCAACCCUCACUUUUAGUUGCCAUCAUUAAGUUGGGCACUCUGAAAGAACUGCCAGUGAUAAGCUGGAGGAAGGUGGGGAUGACGUCAAGUCCUCAUGGCCCUUACGUGUUGGGCUACACACGUGCUACAAUGGUAUCUACAACAGGAAGCAAGACUGCGAGGUCAAGCAAAUCCUUAAAAGAUACCUCAGUUCGGAUUGCACUCUGCAACUCGAGUGCAUG